UGCGGCAGAGGUGAGAAAUUGAGGCAUUAUGAGGUGAGUGAUGAUGUGCGUAUUAUGCAAUCGUCGUCGAUUCCAUAUUCUAUUCGCGUCGGUGACCAUCCAAGGACAAAAAAGAGGAAACG
ensembl:ncRNA F41C6.13 ncRNA